UACGUAGGGUGCUAGCGUUAAUCGGAAUUACUGGGCGUAAAGCGUGCGCAGGCGGUUAUGCAAGACAGAUGUGAAAUCCCCGGGCUUAACCUGGGAACCGCAUUUGUGACUGCAUAGCUGGAGUACGGCAGAGGGGGAUGGAAUUCCGCGUGUAGCAGUGAAAUGCGUAGAUAUGCGGAGGAACACCGGUGGCGAAGGCGGCAUCCUGGACCGGUAUUGACGCUGAGGCGCGAAAGCUAGGGGAGCAAACGGG
rnacentral:rRNA from 1 species